rnacentral:snRNA from 1 species
ACAUGUGAGGACAAUAUGGCUGUGACACCUGUCACCCUAUUGAUCACUAGGGUUUAUUCAGUUGAUCAACUGGCUGGCUAGGUACAUGUCCCCUUCCUCCCUCACUGCUCCACAUGCAUCCCUCCCAAAGCUCCACUCUCAGUCAAAGAGGACAAACUUCCCCGAUACACGCAGUACCUUUCAUCGGUCACGGUCAUACAGUAGCUGUGCUCCCCUACUAGAACCUCCAAACAAGUAACUCCAGCAGCUCCUCAAGGACUUCCCCUUGGG